rnacentral:rRNA from 1 species
UACAGAGACCUCAAGCGUUAUCCGGAAUCAUUGGGCGUAAAGCGUACCGAUAGGUGGUUGAAAUAGUCUUGGGUAAAAGCCAGAAGCUUAACUUCUGCGUUUGCUUAAGAUACUUUUCGACUAGAGGGGCAAAGAGGUGCUUGGAACGAAUGGUGUAGUAGUGAAAUGCGUUGAUAUCAUUCGGAACACCGAAGCGAAGGCAGAGCUGGGUGCCACCUGACACUGCUAGGACGAAAGCGUGGGUAGCGAAUGGG